UACGAAGGGGGCUAGCGUUGCUCGGAAUCACUGGGCGUAAAGCGCACGUAGGCGGAUUGCUAAGUCAGGGGUGAAAUCCUGGAGCUCAACUCCAGAACUGCCUUUGAUACUGGCGACCUUGAGUCCGGGAGAGGUGAGUGGAACUGCGAGUGUAGAGGUGAAAUUCGUAGAUAUUCGCAAGAACACCAGUGGCGAAGGCGGCUCACUGGCCCGGUACUGACGCUGAGGUGCGAAGGCUAGGGGAGCGAACGGG
rnacentral:rRNA from 1 species